rnacentral:pre_miRNA from 1 species
UUUAAAAUAUAUAUGUUAAAAGCAAUGGAUUAAGAUCCUCUGCAGUCGACUGCACCGCGCUUUUAUUAUUGACAUGCGGUGCAGUCGACUGCAGAGCAUCCUGAUCCGUAAACAGCCACAU